rnacentral:rRNA from 1 species
UACGUAGGCAGCAAGCGUUGUUCGGAGUUACUGGGCGUAAAGGGUGCGUAGGCGGUCCUAUAAGUCUGGUGUGAAGUCCCCCGGCUUAACUGGGAGGGUGCGCUAUAGACUGUGGGACUAGAGUGUGGGAGAGGAAAGUGGAAUUCCUGGUGUAGCGGUGAAAUGCGUAGAUAUCAGGAGGAACACCGGUGGUGUAAACGGCUUUCUGGACCAUAACUGACGCUGAGGCACGAAAGCGUGGGUAGCAAACAGG